CCCAUCCUGCCAGAACUCUGUCUCUCAAAAAUAAAUAAACUUUAAAAAAAAAAAAAAUGAGUGAAUGAAUGAAUGAAUGAAUGAAUGAAACAGCCCCUGAUUUGUAGUUGUGUUAGGAGGCUUAUAUAAACAACAGACAGCAUAACAAUUCAUUGCUUCCUCAUAAUUACCAUGUCUGUAGGAACUUAAAAAAUGGUGCAUGCCAUUUACAGUAAAUGGGGCUGACUCUAUAAAAAGUAUUUGUAAAUUUUGUAAUUCUAGGGAUAUAUGUCAGCAAUUAUCAUAUGGUCUCAAAUCCUGACAAACAUCCCAAAAGAUAUUUUAAAAGAUACAUUGGAUGAAAAAUAGUGAUGAGACUGUCAGUAAUCCCUCUCUGGUCACUCUUACAAAUUCUACAUUUCCUUUUUAUGAAUGUACUUUUUAAGAUAGUAAACCUGCUUCAUUUCUUCAUCCUGAUUUGAAAUUUUGGUUAUUUUACCAAAUAUUUGGUUAUUACCAAGAAAACUUGGUAAUUUUGAGUUUUGGAUAUCCUAAAAGAUACAUUGAAAGUCUAAUAAUGGAUGUCCGUUCUUAAGUUAACUAUGACUUUUUCUCAAAAAAUUUCAUGAUAUGUUUUUUGUCCUGAGCUGGAGUUGACAGGUAUUAAGUUUCUUAGUUAACCUUGCAGGUGCUUUCAAGAUAACUUGAACAUGAGACUACCAGAAAGGACUGUAAAAAAGCUGCAGUCAGAGUUGGUGGUAUGGAAAGUUCUUUUGAAACAUGGAAAACAUUAAUUUAAAAGAGUUCGAGAGUUUAAGCCAAAAGAGCUGGUCAGGUUGUAUAGCAAAAGAAAACUCUACGCUCUACGAGACCCCACCCCCCCGCCCCACUGUACUUCUCUUUGAAUCGCCUCUCUACUGCUGUUUAUAUGAAAUUGAUCUAAAUGCUCCCAUUCCAGGGACUCGUGAACUUAAGUACAGGGAAUGAUAGCAACUGCAAAUGAGUUUAAGAAGACAAGCUGACUGUCAUUAUGACCUUUUUAAAACGUUCUGUGACAUCUGUUUUCCAUUUUUGCUAGGCUGUUUGAUUAACUUUAGUUUUGCAGAAUUGCGGAAAUCUUUUUUGCUCAAAAUAGUAUCUUGAAGGAAGUGACCCUUAUUUAAUAGAGAAGAAUGUUAAGUGUAAUAUGGGCUUAAUUAACUUCAUCCCAAGUUUCAGAUUUUUCCCAUUGGCUUCAAGGUCUCUUCCCCUGUAUGGCUCAUUUCUGUACAACCAGAUAAAACUUCGGGUGGUGGAAUGCUCUGAUCUGGCUGGUGCCAAUGUCAUAUUUCUAAGAUGGCAAAAAUGGAAGAAAUUUCAAAGAGAAUAGUGACAGUUCAGAAACUAUUCCUGUCCUUAUCUCUAUUAUACGAGGUCUCGUGGGCUUCUGAGCUAGUGAGCGUGUCAAGUUGUGAAAACUAUUCCUUCCUUAUAAUGAAGGUGAUCUUUUUGAUAAGAAUAAUUGUCUUGAAAGAGAAAGAGGGACAAAAAGGUCAGUACAUCCCAUAAAAACCUGGGACAUGAAUGCCUCUUUUGCUGUGGUUCAGUGGUCCUAGAAAGCUCAUACUGGACAUGGCUUAGAAGGCAAAGCAGAGCAUUAAAUCAACAACAGACUGUAUUUUUCUGUUUGCCAGAGCACACAACAGCCCGGUUGCCCUGAGAUCAGGACACAAAGGGAAAUAGCUGCAUUUCAACAUGUCCUGGCUUCACUAGAGAAAGCCUACUGGGUUUCUGGCUUUCCAAAGUGGACAGAAGCUGGCAGAUCAGCUGCCUUUACCCCUAUGUGCUUAGCUAUUCUAAGUAGUUUCUGAGAAAGCAAUGUGGAUUGUACUAGACCUGAUUUUUCUAUUCAGAGGAAUUAAUGAGCUUUAAUUAGUCACUUUUUACAUGGCUUCUCUGCUUCAGCCUGGCAAGUGCUGCCGGUUCCUUCGUUUUCCUUGAGUUCCAUACCCAGUGUUUCUUGAACAAAUCUGUCUUCUGUAUCUGACUUGGGCUGGUUUCAUUCUCCCAGCUCCUACUUAACCCUCAAAUGAGGUGACCUUAGCUCUCUGACCUCUGGCUCAGUAUCGAGGCCAGAUUUGUCCUGGAGAAGGAAAAAGUAAAUUGGAAAGAAGUUAGGUGGAGGAGAAGACUCUGUGUUUUAAAGAAAGGUUUGUUUAAUGUAUUAUGGUAGUAUUGAGAUGUUCCCUUAAUAUCUUACAAAUAAUUCAUUUGGAAAGAAAGCCAAGUGCAUAGUGUUUUGAGGACAAGAACACUUCCUCCUUAGUGAACAUACCAGAUACAUCAUUCUGAUGCUCCAGGCACUAAUUUACCAGGAUCCUGUUUCCCAACUAUGCUUUUUAAAAAAAUUAGUAAUAGUAGUUUUUAAAUAGCUUCCAGUAUUUCAAAACAUCUAGUAGAUUGCACAGGUCAACUGAAAUUACUGAUUUAUUUCCAUUUAGCUGCAAUCAUAUUAAUUCAUUAUGGUAACCCAACAUAUGCUGAUUGAUAGUUGUGUAGUCUCUGUUUAGCACUAAAUGAGAAAACACUUUAAGUAAUUUAUUGGAUGUAGUUGGAUUUCCUUUAAACUAUAAAAAAUGCCUUGCCUAUUUCAUUCCCUCCUUUCUAUUUUCAAGGAUUCAUUUUCUCUUUCUAGAUUCCCAACUUCCCACCUGCUGUUUCUCCUCUAUUCUUCUUUUACAAACACCAUGCCCUGCUUUUCAGGAGGCAUAGACUAGAUUAGGUCAUCCUGUGUGUCCUCUACCAGCACUGAGGACUUCUCCCAUGACAACCCCCAUGUAAUUACUCACUAGGGUUGUCUCUCCACAAGAUUAUAUGUUCUGUGACAUCAGGCUUGUAUCACUCCUGUUCUUCACUUUGCCCUAUCCCUACCCCAGUGCCUGGAACAUCAUAAACAAUAAAUAUCAGUGGGUUUAAUGGCUAGAUUGCAUUCAUUGCCAAACUGAGUGGCAUUUAUUUAUUUGAAUGCUUGACUGACUCCAUCACUAGGCGAUCAUAUUCUGGAGGAAUAUGGUACCUGUGGAGGUAUCAAUCAUUUUUUAAUCCCCAGCACCUAGCACUAGAUCUAGGACAGAAAUUUAAUUCAACUACAGUUGAGAUUUUAAAAAAAUGGGGACACUAUAGAUUUUGAUAAAGAAUUUAAUGAUCAUGAUUCUUAUUUUAUCACUAGGCAGUCCUAUGAAAAGAUGAUCCUUUGCCCAAAAUUCCACUCAAUUGAUGAGUCUAUGGUCUUACUCAAUUUCUAGUAAGUGAGUACUACCAUGAUUUUAGGUCUGUAAGUAGCUUAAAUUUAGAGUUUUGGUUAGAGAUGGUCCUACCAAUCCCUGUUGUAGAUAAAGAGUUUGAAUGAGGUUGCUGACUGGACCUUUUAACUUGCUGUUCUUGUUUAUUUUCUGCUUGUUUUGUUUGUUCAGGUCUGGCCUGGAGCCUAAAAAUAAAAGCGUGCUUGCAGUUUGA